UUUUCAGUAUGUCAAGACUGUCCCAUAAAACAAAUAUAUUGUGUGUUAGAGGUGGAAUUAGAAGUAUCUUUAACUCAAACAUUAUUGGAAAAAAGUUGUAAUUGUGUAAUUGUAUACUUUAUCCUAAAAUUGUUUUUUUUUUUAACUUGAGUGGAAAUUGGGAGAAAAUACUGGCAGAUUCAGUUAUGAGAGGUACAUCCAAACAUGGUAGGCUUCUGGAUACAGCAGAGCAAAAUCCUCUAAGUCUAAAACAAAAGUAUCUGUUUUUAAAGCUGAGGAUUGGGCAACCUUUCUUAGUCAUUCUUGAAAUAGAAAAGUUUACUUCAAAUAUUAUAUCAAGUUUAGCUGCUUUUUUGUUUCUUCUCUAAAGACGUGUUGUCUCAAAGAAACAGUUGAACCUAUUUUAUUAAGUGAUUGUAAGGUAUACAUUUCAAGAUAAUUCUAGAAUGCAUUACAUUGCAAAAAUGCAGGAAUCACCUUGGCAGAAUAAUAGUAAGAUGUAUUUCAAAAAUUAUAAAGUGAUUUUCCUUCAAAUUGCUUUAUUCUAACCUUCCUGUAAACAUAUAUGAAAUGUAUUACCUAAAAGUUUAUUUUCCAAAGUUACUGAGUUGACACUUUACAUAGUCUUAGACUUUGUGCCCCUCACAUCACUCACAUACUUUAUUUAUUUAUUUACAGAUUGAAUGAAUUGUGUUUUAGAAUGAUUUAUUUUGGUUUCUGUUUUAUUAGGUUGAAUUAGAAUUCAAAAUUACUUGACAUCGGCUUUCAGAAUGUUUCAUCUUUUGUUGCCACAAGCAUGAGUCAUUUUCAAAAUAAUUAUCUCAAUGGACUUUCUCAAUCUUUAACUUCUCAAUAUCUAGUUAUCUAAAUUUGGGAAACAUAUGUAUUACCACUAAUAAUGUUUGUAAAGCAAGCCUCAAAUAAUGUGUAACAUAUAAAUUCAAAGUCAAAUGUAUUCUCGUUACAAAUAUAUUUUAUUUUAAAAGACUGUAUCACCAAUAUUAACAGCUAUUUUAACACAGUGACAAAUGGACAGAUAAAUCAGAUAUUAUAAAUCAGUAGCAUUAAAUGUCUUUAUAAAAGAAAAAUUGAAUUGAAUAUUCUCAUAAUGCUUUGUAGAAGAUAGGCUUUGAUAUCUUAAACUUAGAUGUAUAAUUUUCUGAAAGAGAAAGGUGAUAUUGCUGCUUUAAAAUGCAAUUUCAGGCAAAAAGGAAAUUAGACACAGGAUCAUAAUAAAGCUGAAGAAAAUAGCAAAGAUUUGAAGGCAAACAAAUUCUUUAUAACUGCACAGCAAUUUGAAUGGGAUGGAGAUUAUAACAGAAAUCAAGGUUUAAAGAGCAUUAAGAAAUAGAUAGAAGACAAUAAUACCCAUUUUCCGUCUCAUUUUAUUUUAACUGGACAAGGGCUUAAACUGGGGGAAUUGGAAAAAUAAUUAGGAUAUUCCCAUUUAAUUGCCCUUGGUUGUUGAAUUAACUGUAUAAUGGAUGCACAUAAAAAUUCUGCUGCAUUGAAACAACACCAGUAUUAUUUAGCCCAAAGUCUUAGUUUGAAAGGCUAAUCAGCACCAUAUUACUAACCUGUAACACUUCAAACUCCAAGCCAACAAUAGCUGAAUAUACAAGAAAAAUCUACUAGAGCUGUGCCUAAGCAUGAAUGACGCUCCAAAUCCUUGUUAAGGGAGGAGAAGGUUAAACUACAUAAGUUUACUUAAGUCUGCUUACUCUUUAGAGUGAUUGAUUAUAAAAGUGUGUUUCUAGUAGAGGAAAUACCUUUCUAGAUAUCUUGUGAUAUAGCCAAAUACCUUACCCUUGUAUAGUUAUAUUGUUCUUCUUAUUAAUAAAUACUAUAUUUUGUAUAGUUUUCUCUUUUCUCUAUAAAUUGAUGUAUCUGAAGGCAAAAACUUAUUACCUAAUAAAAAUAUCACCAUCUGGUGGUGACUCCUAUAAACUGCAAACACGUAAUCCCCGAGACUCCCAAAUAGUAUAAACACCUAAUAUAUAAUCCCUAAGACUUCUGAGAGUUGUGACUGACAGAGGCAACUCUUUGAAGAUAGCAAAUGGCACAAUAUUACUUAAAAAUAUAAUAAAAGAGUCUUAGUUAUGCAUUUUUUGGAAGCUUUUCUUGAUGUGGUUCUAUAAUAUUGGAUUUUACAAAUCGAUUUUCUCUUAAUUUCUUAUACUUUUCAGCUACCUUCAUUCAUUUCUUCAUUCUAAUAUUUAAUAAAUGACUACUACAUACU
rnacentral:lncRNA from 1 species